rnacentral:rRNA from 1 species
UACAGAGGGUGCGAGCGUUAAUCGGAGUUACUGGGCGUAAAGGGCGCGUAGGCGGUUUAAUAAGAUUGAUGUGAAAUCCCUGGGCUUAACCUAGGAACUGCAUCGAUGACUGUUAAGCUUGAGUAUUGUAGAGGGUAGUGGAAUUUCCGGUGUAGCGGUGAAAUGCGUAGAUAUUGGGAGGAACACCAGUGGCGAAGGCGGCUCACUGGACCGGUACUGACGCUGAGGCGCGAAAGCGUGGGGAGCAAACGGG